rnacentral:rRNA from 1 species
UACGUAGGUGGCAAGCGUUUGUCCGGAAUUAUUGGGCGUAAGCGCGCGCAGGCGGUCCCUUAAGUCUGAUGUGAAAGCCCACGGCUCAACCGUGGAGGGUCAUUGGAAACUGGGGGACUUGAGUACAGAAGAGGAAGCGGAAUUCCACGUGUAGCCGGUGAAAUGCGUAGAGAUGUGGAGGAACACCAGUGGCGAAGGCGCUUCUGGUCUGUAACUGACGCUGAGACGCGAAAGCGUGGGGAGCAAACAGG